rnacentral:rRNA from 1 species
UACGUAGGGUGCAAGCGUUAAUCGGAAUUACUGGGCGUAAAGCGUGCGCAGGCGGUUCUAUAAGACAGAUGUGAAAUCCCCGGGCUCAACCUGGGAACUGCAUUUGUGACUGUAGAGCUGGAGUACGGUAGAGGGGGAUGGAAUUCCGCGUGUAGCAGUGAAAUGCGUAGAUAUGUGGAGGAACACCGAUGGCGAAGGCAGCCCCCCUGGGUCAAGACUGACGCUCAUGCACGAAAGCGUGGGGAGCAAACAGG